GUACAGCUAAUUAAACUGACCGUGCUGUCUGUCCCCUGGGUGCCUGGUGUGCAUGGCUACAGACAGUGAGCAACCUUAGUAAUGUAUGUAGCCUGUGGCUUGUAUGGGCUAUAAUAAAGGACCUUGGGUACAGUC